rnacentral:rRNA from 1 species
AGCGGAGGAAAAGAAACUAACAAGGAUUCCCCUAGUAACGGCGAGUGAACCGGGAAGAGCUCAAAUUUGAAAUCUGGCGUGCUCAGUGCGUCCGAGUUGUAAUCUAUAGAAACGUUUUCCGUGCCGGACCGUGUCCAAGUCCCUUGGAACAGGGUAUCAAAGAGGGUGAUAAUCCCGUACUUGACACGACGACCGGUGCUCUGUGAUACGUUCUCUACGAGUCGAGUUGUUUGGGAAUGCAGCUCAAAAUGGGUGGUGAGUUCCAUCUAAAGCUAAAUAUUGGCGAGAGACCGAUAGCGAACAAGUACCGUGAGGGAAAGAUGAAAAGCACUUUGGAAAGAGAGUUAAACAGUACGUGAAAUUGUUGAAAGGGAAACGAUUGAAGUCAGUCGUGACUGAGAGGCUCAGCCGGUUCUGCCGGUGUAUUCCCCUCAGUCGGGUCAACAUCAGUUUUGUCCGGUGGAUAAGGGCAGUUGGAAGGUGGCACCCUCGGGUGUGUUAUAGCCAGCUGUCGCAUACAUUGGAUGAGGCUGAGGAAUGCAGCUCGCCUUUAUGGCCGGGGUUCGCCACACGUACGAG